UUUUCAUACGUGUGGUGUUCUGAACUGUAACUUUAUUUAGCUCGUUUUUAUGCCAAAAUAACUCGGAUAUAAGAAAAGUAUUAUCAAGAUUUAAAAAGCAAAGAUUCAAGGCUUCAAUUGGGUGAUAUUUUUCAUCGAAGUUUGGCCGCACGAGCGACGGUGUCAGAGAAAAGCCAUGCCCAUGAAAUGUGAGUUCUGUGACAAGGUAUUUUCAUUCAGAGGCCUUUUGCUAACGCAUGAAAGAAAACACACUGGAGAGAAACCUUAUGAAUGUGAUGUUUGCAACAAGAGAUGUUCUCAAAUGGGCCAUUUAAGGAUACAUAAAAGGACACACACUGGAGACAAGCAUUAUGAAUGCGAUGUUUGCAACAAGAGAUUUUCAGAUCCAAGUUCGCUUUCUAGACAUGAAAGAACACACACUGGAGAGAAACCUUAUGAAUGUGAUGUUUGCAACCAACGAUUUUCAGAUCCAAGUUCGCUUUCUAACCAUAAAAGAACACACACCAAAGAAAAACCUCAUGAAUGUGAUGUUUGCAAUAAGAGAUUUUCUCUAAUGGGCAAUUUAAGGAAACAUAAAAAAUUACAUACUGGAGACAAGCCUUAUGAAUGUGACGUUUGCAACAAGAGAUUUUCUCAAAUGGGCAAUUUAAGGAUACAUAAGAGAAAACAUACUGGAGACAAACCUUAUGAAUGUGAUGUUUGCAAGAAGAGAUUUUUUGAAAUGGGCAAUUUAAGGAUACAUAAAAGAAAACACACUGGAGAGAAGCCUUAUGAAUGUGAUGUUUGCAACAAGAGAUUUUCUCAAAUGGGCCAUUUAAGGAAGCAUAAAAGAUUACAUACUGGAGACAAGCCUUUCACAUCCAAGAUUUUCACAUCCAAGUAGUUUAGCUCAACAUAAAAUAACACACAGUGUCCAGAGACAAAUCUUAUGAAUGUGAUGUUUGCAACAAAAGAUGUUUAGCUUCAAGUAGUUUAUGUAAACAUAAAAGAACACACACUGGAGAAAACAUUGACAUUGCAACUGAACUUGAAAGUCAUAUGAAGACCAUGACUGAACUUGAAAGUCUAUAAAUUAGACCCAUGACAAUGUGUUCUCAGACUAAGCUGGAUUUGAAACUGUUUUAAAAUGUUUUGAAAUUUGUCUUGAUGCAGUAUAAAGUAUUACAUACUGAAAAUUAUGUUGAUAUUUCAGUGAAGAUUGUUAAUUUUGACACAUAAAUUAGCUUUAUUGAUUAAGAUAGUUUUUAAUUAGGAUCAUUUUGACUUUAGCUGUUAAUUGGGUUAUUUUAUUGUGUUUGGUUGUAAUAAAC